AUUUUAGUGUCCACUUAUCGGUAAUUGCUACACGCUUAAAAAAAACAUUUACCAAAAAAUUAUUUAGCCUAUUUUAAAAGUUCUUUGUAUUUAAUUAGCGAGUUGCGCAGCUCUCGUUGUAACCUUUGUCGCCAUAGUAAUGAUGGCUGAACCCUGAACCUGAAUUCCCAACUUCCGUUUGACCUUAGGUAUUUAGGGGCCUAUCAGUUUAUGCCAAUGAGCAGAGCCCACGGUCUACAUUUAAUUACGAAGGGGUCCUCAUCUUUACGAUAAGAUGUUUUAAAAAUUAAUCGAUUAGUGUGCUCAAAUAUAAUGCAAGACUAACUCAGUGUAAGGAGGAUUGCUAAUGUAAUCAGAAAGUUGAUGGCUGAGAUAAAGCGGCUGAGGAGAACAGAGGCUUGUGAGUGGAAUAGGUUGGUGGAACUUGUGUUCAAUGUCUCAGGUGGAAGUACAUUUAGUACAGUUUUCAUGGAGAUCCAGCUUUUAUUCAAGGCUCAUCUUAAAGAGAAUGAUGUGGCUGCUGGGACAUAACUAAAAUCUACAUUCAACUGCUUGCAGAUCUCAAGAAGCCUGGGGUUCUCGUGCAGCGCUGCAAGCACUCAGGCUGAUUGGGAAGUUAAUUUCUGGUCCUUUGAUAAAGUUGAUUUACAAGAACGCAAAGUGGCGAUCAGUUGUACUCUGUUUCUUAAAGCGUUGUUGACUUCUUGGUUCGACAGCUGGAGAGGUUUCUGAUGGGAAAUCUGAUUGGUGGCCAGUUGACUCAUAAGUGGGAGCAAGGUGAACAGGGUGUGUUGCAAAUACAGUGGAAGGACUAUUGAAAGGGUGCCAGCAUCAAAACAAAAGUCAGCUCUUUACACAAUAAGCUACUGGGCAGAUGAUUAGGAUAAUGCUGAGAAUCUGUCAUCUGGCAGAAUCACUGGUUGUUGACUUGCUUUGUAGGAAUCUUGUUUUUCUUACUGAAUUCAGAGUUACAGAAAACUUCUUUCAUUUGUAGUAUACAAAUUAACUUUAUUUUUUAAUAUUAGUGUUUUUAUAAGUUGUUACUGAAAAAAUGCUUGCUGUGAACUGUAAAAAUUUUGAAAACUAACACUAACAAUGUUUAUAAUUAAGUAUUGUUUUCAUAAUGUAAAAAAAUAUUUACAUUUUAAUUACGUAACUUAUUUUUCAGGGUAAUUUGAAUCAGCAAGAUAAUCCUAGAAUCAGUAGUUACGUGCUUCAAAAAUGUUGGUCCAAACAAAUUUAAACUAUUUUCUUUUUCAGUUUGAUCACUCAAGUAGUAACGCUUUUUAAAAAUGUAUUUCUUUUCCUUAUAUGUGCUAAUUGAAAUUGUAUCUAAAGAUUAAUAACAAUUGAUACUUUAGAAAAUUGUUUUUAAACACUAAAGUAAUCCAAGAAAUUUGU